GACGAACGCUGGCGGCGUGCCUAAUACAUGCAAGUAGAACGCUGAAGGAGGAGCUUGCUUCUCUGGAUGAGUUGCGAACGGGUGAGUAACGCGUAGGUAACCUGCCUGCUAGCGGGGGAUAACUAUUGGAAACGAUAGCUAAUACCGCAUAAUAGCAGUUGUUGCAUGAUAACUGUUUGAAAGGUGCAAUUGCACCACUACCAGAUGGACCUGCGUUGUAUUAGCUAGUUGGUGGGGUAACGGCUCACCAAGGCGACGAUACAUAGCCGACCUGAGAGGGGGAUCGGCCACACUGGGACUGAGACACGGCCCAGACUCCUACGGGAGGCAGCAGUAGGGAAUCUUCGGCAAUGGACGGAAGUCUGACCGAGCAACGCCGCGUGAGUGAAGAAGGUUUUCGGAUCGUAAAGCUCUGUUGUAAGAGAAGAACGAGUGUGAGAGUGGAAAGUUCACACUGUGACGGUAUCUUACCAGAAAGGGACGGCUAACUACGUG
rnacentral:rRNA from 1 species